GACGAACGCUGGCGGCGUGCCUAAUACAUGCAAGUCGAACGCAUUUUCUUUCACCGUAGCUUGCUACACCGAAAGAAAAUGAGUGGCGAACGGGUGAGUAACACGUGGGUAACCUGCCCAUCAGCGGGGGAUAACACUUGGAAACAGGUGCUAAUACCGCAUAAUUCCAUUUACUGCAUGGUAGAUGGAUGAAAGGCGCUUUUGCGUCACUGAUGGAUGGACCCGCGGUGCAUUAGCUAGUUGGUGGGGUAACGGCCUACCAAGACUGCGAUGCAUAGCCGACCUGAGAGGGUGAUCGGCCACACUGGGACUGAGACACGGCCCAGACUCCUACGGGAGGCAGCAGUAGGGAAUCUUCGGCAAUGGACGCAAGUCUGACCGAGCAACGCCGCGUGAGUGAAGAAGGUUUUCGGAUCGUAAAACUCUGUUGUUGGAAAAGAACAAGGAUGAGAGUGGAAAGUUCAUCCCUUGACGGUAUCUAACCAGAAAGCCACGGCUAACUACGUG
rnacentral:rRNA from 1 species